AGAGUCAUCCAUAAAAAGCUUCUAACUUUAAAUAAAGCAUUAACAUGUUUAUGACUCUA
rnacentral:tRNA from 1 species